GAUGAACGCUGGCGGCGUGCCUAAUACAUGCAAGUCGAGCGAACAGACGAGGAGCUUGCUCCUCUGACGUUAGCGGCGGACGGGUGAGUAACACGUGGAUAACCUACCUAUAAGACUGGGAUAACUUCGGGAAACCUGAGCUAAUACCGGAUAAUAUAUUGAACCGCAUGGUUCAAUAGUGAAAGACGGUUUUGCUGUCACUUAUAGAUGGAUCCGCGCCGCAUUAGCUAGUUGGUAAGGUAACGGCUUACCAAGGCAACGAUGCGUAGCCGACCUGAGAGGGUGAUCGGCCACACUGGAACUGAGACACGGUCCAGACUCCUACGGGAGGCAGCAGUAGGGAAUCUUCCGCAAUGGGCGAAAGCUUGACGGAGCAACGCCGCGUGAGUGAUGAAGGUCUUCGGAUCGUAAAACUCUGUUAGUAGGGAAGAACAAAUGUGUAAGUAACUAUGCAUGUCUUGACGGUACCUAAUCAGAAAGCCACGGCUAACUACGUG
rnacentral:rRNA from 1 species